GCCUUUUAUAUGCCGUGACAGGGAGCGUUGGUCGACGUCAUACCCACCACCAUGUGAACAGCAGCAAAAUUUAUUCUAAGGAAAAUUGAUACAUCAGUGAUGGUGGGGCCAUCACAUUAUCAGCUGUUGUGGAUUUCUCAAUUCAACGUUUAUAUUGCAGACUCCACAUAAGGUAAAACACUUCCAUUCAGCAAUUGGUGUGCAGUGUCCAGAUAGUCAACAUUUAAAGACUUCCUGAUCAUCAUGUGGAGGUGAUGGUACAUGAGACUGACAAGUAACAGCACAGCAGUUAUUUAAUGACAUGACAUGCCAUACCAGUCAUUACACUCCAGAUCAUUGCCCAGAGCACAGAAGACAUGGUGGCAUUAAUAAACAUGGAGAGACACAGCAUACAACUAGGAACCUUUCUAUCCUAACUCAGCGGUGACCGGCACCGCUGCCUCAAGGCAGAAGAC